CCUUGAGGAAAUCACAGUGUAGGAGGGGAAACCAUUAAACUGAACAUGAAAUUUGCUAUAAUCGCACAGCCAUCAUGCAUUUGGUAGGUAGGAGCCCUGAAAAUGCCAUCAACACUUACACUGAAUCUCGUUAAUUAGAAGUUGAGACUCAUUGCCAAUAGACCUGCUGCUUCAAGAGUGAAGUCCAUAUUCUAGUCUAAAGUUUCUCAUGUCACAAUGGUUUCAGCCUGGUGAACCCAUAAAAGAAUAUAGAAGGGAGGCCAGCAAAACUGAAUGCACUAUCUCCCCUUCAACCCAGUCUCUAACCUUUCUACCCUACCCUCAGGUCUACGGGCCCCGCCAUUUUCUAACCUCUGCUGCGGAGCUGUCCACCUGCCUUUGGGAAGUUCUUGUCAUUAUCCAUGGAGUUGGUCUCACUUCAAGAACUGUCUCUUGCUGCUUCCAGCAGUUCAUUCACUCCAAGAAUUUUUCCCAGGAAGAGACCAGGACUAUGAAGAAAGCAGACAAAUAGUACCUGAAGAUAAGAUGUAAACUGUUUCCAUACCCGCCCCUCUCUGAUUUCUUUCUCUGUAUCCACUGGGAUUAAUUGGUGGAAUUGCAUGUCUUCAGUAUUUUUGUGUGAAGGAGUGGUCCUCUAACUGACCUAUGCUAGGAAUUCCCUAUUAACUCAUGGGAUGAAUUGCGAACUGUCCUUCCCAUCCAGUAUUAUAGUGAGAAGCCUGCGAAUUACCUUAUAAGGACUAUGAAUCCAAUAUCUGUAUACACCCAGCAAGUAUUUCUUGAUCAUAAAAUGUUAGAAUUAGAUAGAGUUUUAGAAGUCAUUUAGCUUGACCUCUCAUCUGAUGCAGAUAUUUCUUCCAUAAUUUUUCUCGCAAGCGGUCUCCAGCCAAGACUGUGUUUGUUAUAACACGGAGCUCCCCACGGUGUUGGGCAGCCCAUCUCAGUGCUGGACAGCUCUCCUUGUAACCCUUGGUUCUUGCUCUUGUUUUUUGGAACCUCACAAAAUAUGUCUACACCUCUCCCAUGUCACAGCCCUUCACACAUUUGGUGGCUGCUGAUUUGUCCCAACUAAGCUAUCAUCAGGACUUGUGAGGAUUUUUCAGAUCACAUUGAGUAACCUCAUAAACAUCAAAAAUCAACAAUAGUUAACUCUGGAAAAUGAGAUUACGGUUAUGUCUUUUAUUUUCUUAUAUGUAAAAUCUAAUUUUCACAAUAAAUAAUUACUUGAAUAACAGCGACAA